rnacentral:rRNA from 1 species
GAUGAACGCUGGCGGCGUGCCUAAUACAUGCAAGUCGAGCGAACAGAUAAGGAGCUUGCUCCUUUGACGUUAGCGGCGGACGGGUGAGUAACACGUGGAUAACCUACCUAUAAGACUGGGAUAACUUCGGGAAACCGGAGCUAAUACCGGAUAACAUAUUGAACCGCAUGGUUCAAUAGUGAAAGGCGGCUUUGCUGUCACUUAUAGAUGGAUCCGCGCCGUAUUAGCUAGUUGGUAAGGUAACGGCUUACCAAGGCAACGAUACGUAGCUGACCUGAGAGGGGGAUCGGCCACACGGGAACUGGGCCACGGUCCAGACUCCUACGGGAGGCAGCAGUAGGGAAUCUUCCGCAAUGGGCGAAAGCCUGACGGAGCAACGCCGCGUGAGUGAUGAAGGUCUUCGGAUCGUAAAACUCUGUUAUCAGGGAAGAACAAAUGUGUAAGUAACUGUGCACAUCUUGACGGUACCUGAUCAGAAAGCCACGGCUAACUACGUG